rnacentral:lncRNA from 1 species
UUUCCCUUGAGAAUGAUUUAUCUUGUGAUUGUGCUGGGCCUUGGGGAACGCUCUCUCCCCCAGUGCUCUUAUCAACUCCCCUCACACCAGUUUAGGGAGCCAGCAACCCUCGAUGUCUCCUAAAUUUCAUUAGUUGUUGGUUAUCUAGUUUUAGAAUAUUCUGUCCUAAAAAUCUCAUAUCACGUGCAGCUACUCUUUGUACUCUCUGCUGAGCCAUUUUGUAGCAUUUCUCCACAGUGCAAAACAGUCACCAAAUAUGACCAGCAAGUCAGUGGAUUUAGUGAUUCUUACGGAGAUCAUGACAGUUAACUUGUAAAGCAAUCUGGGAUCUGUCUGUAGAUAACACGCCAAUUCCUCUGCCCUCACUGCUUCCCUGAAUUUAAACAAUGUCAGUCUGGAUACAUUUCCUUAUCCUUCCCUCCAGACAUACCUGUGACUCUGAUGGUGAGCCCUGGAGAAGCUGAAACCAGGAUGCAAGCCCAAGCGGGGCGGAUACAUCUAGGAUUAAGAUCAGACACCAGAGAAAGCCUCCAGACAGAACCUCUGCUCGCUUCCGGCCAGGACGAAUCAAUCUUUCCUUCGUUUGGAAUCGGCAGAAAUACAGAUGCAAAAGCAGGACGUGGACAAAUGACAGAAGAUAAGGUAUUGCAUCGGCAAGCAGAACAUCCUGUCUUCGAGAUGGGCUUCCUGAGGUUCAUGCCCUUCAGUACUGCCUGUUGACCUCUCUUUCAAAUACAGGACUCCGAGGGAUCACCACAAUGGCCAAACCACUCUGGACCUACACGGUUGUGAAAACACUAGCCAUGCCCCCAUCAGAGUUGACAGUGAUGCAUUUUUUUCACUGACAAAUUAUAUUCUGCUGAGAAUGGGACUUUUUGCAGGUACUUACCUGUUCUUGUGAAGCUGCUACCUGAGAAGGGUUCUCAUGUCCAGGAUGAGACUCAAAAUACACCAAAGAGGAAGAAAACUGUCACAUCUCCCAGCCAAUCAUCCUGUGAUCAAGACUGGUGACAUGGAAGUCCAGACUUCAAGUUUCUGUUCUGCAAGAUGUCUGAGGGUCAGAAUCCUGCAUCUCAGGCAAGCUUUCUGGCCACCAAGCUAUCAGUUAUUCUGAAGAACAGCUUCCUCAGUCUCUCCUGUUGGACCAGUAUCAAUAAUUAAACAUUAAUUGGAACAAGGACUUGAAUUUAGACUGCCCACUGGAGUAUCGUAUUAGUCUUUCUGCGGGCCAAUGAGCAUGCAACUGUUUGUACAAAGGGAAUAAGCUGCAGAGCAACAGAAGCAGCUCAGGGAUCCCACAAACUCAAAAAAAGCCUUGUUAAGUCCUUGACUGGAACGAGGCAGAACAAGGGCUACUAGCUGUUCUAGGGAGGGCUUUGUCAAAUCAACUCAAAAGGGUCAUGUUUCCAUCCAUUUUGGAAAGAGAUAUUACUUUAAAGUCAAACAUUUUUGAAAAAUAAUUCCUGUAGCUAUAUGAUCCUCUAACAAAUCCUCUGCAUUAAAAGAACUAUUUUAAGUGUCUUUGGCAUCAUGAUAGCCUGAUUCUGACAGUCUCGGAAACAUCUGCCUCGCACAUGAAGAAGGACCUCACUGUUCCAGGUCCGAGUCUAGUGAGUCGUUCCUCUGACAUUCCUCCCAGCUUUGCUGCCGUUCUUAAAAUGAAGGCCUAUGUUUAUUACUUACCUAUUAUCUUUGUAUGACAAGUAUGACAUUCAGUCAUACAGACUAAUACAUGUCACACAGACAUAUUUGGUCAUAUAGAAAAAUAAAUUGAGGUAAUCACAAAAGUUCA